rnacentral:piRNA from 1 species
UUCUCCCUCUUUGUGGGGUGUCUACUACUU